AUGAACGCUAGCUACAGGCUUAACACAUGCAAGUCGAGGGGCAGCAUGAACUUAGCUUGCUAAGUUUGAUGGCGACCGGCGCACGGGUGAGUAACACGUAUCCAACCUGCCGAUGACUCGGGGAUAGCCUUUCGAAAGAAAGAUUAAUACCCGAUGGCAUAGUUCUUCCGCAUGGUAGAACUAUUAAAGAAUUUCGGUCAUCGAUGGGGAUGCGUUCCAUUAGGUUGUUGGCGGGGUAACGGCCCACCAAGCCUUCGAUGGAUAGGGGUUCUGAGAGGAAGGUCCCCCACAUUGGAACUGAGACACGGUCCAAACUCCUACGGGAGGCAGCAGUGAGGAAUAUUGGUCAAUGGACGAGAGUCUGAACCAGCCAAGUAGCGUGAAGGAUGACUGCCCUAUGGGUUGUAAACUUCUUUUAUACGGGAAUAAAGUGAGGCACGUGUGCCUUUUUGUAUGUACCGUAUGAAUAAGGAUCGGCUAACUCCGUGCCAGCAGCCGCGGUAAUACGGAGGAUCCGAGCGUUAUCCGGAUUUAUUGGGUUUAAAGGGAGCGUAGGCGGACGCUUAAGUCAGUUGUGAAAGUUUGCGGCUCAACCGUAAAAUUGCAGUUGAUACUGGGUGUCUUGAGUACAGUAGAGGCAGGCGGAAUUCGUGGUGUAGCGGUGAAAUGCUUAGAUAUCACGAAGAACUCCGAUUGCGAAGGCAGCUUGCUGGACUGUAACUGACGCUGAUGCUCGAAAGUGUGGGUAUCAAACAGGAUUAGAUACCCUGGUAGUCCACACAGUAAACGAUGAAUACUCGCUGUUUGCGAUAUACAGUAAGCGGCCAAGCGAAAGCGUUAAGUAUUCCACCUGGGGAGUACGCCGGCAACGGUGAAACUCAAAGGAAUUGACGGGGGCCCGCACAAGCGGAGGAACAUGUGGUUUAAUUCGAUGAUACGCGAGGAACCUUACCCGGGCUUGAAUUGCAACUGAAUGAUGUGGAGACAUGUCAGCCGCAAGGCAGUUGUGAAGGUGCUGCAUGGUUGUCGUCAGCUCGUGCCGUGAGGUGUCGGCUUAAGUGCCAUAACGAGCGCAACCCUUAUCGAUAGUUACCAUCAGGUGAUGCUGGGGACUCUGUCGAGACUGCCGUCGUAAGAUGUGAGGAAGGUGGGGAUGACGUCAAGUCAUCAUGGCCCUUACGACCAGGGCUACACACGUGCUACAAUGGCGUAAACAAAGGGAAGCGAGAGGGUGACCUGGAGCGAAUCCCAAAAAUAACGUCUCAGUUCGGAUUGUAGUCUGCAACUCGACUACAUGAAGCUGGAAUCGCUAGUAAUCGCGGAUCAGCAUGCCGCGGUGAAUACGUUCCCGGGCCUUGUACACACCGCCCGUCACACCAUGAGAGUUGGGGAUACCCGAAGCCUGUGAGCCAACAUAUCUAUGAGGCAGCAGUCGAAGGUAGAAUCAAUGAUUGGGGUG
rnacentral:rRNA from 1 species